AUGCAUAUGCCAUCACUUCAUAUUGAGAACGAUUCCGAGGAACCACCGGCACCGGAGUACUGCAUCAAUGCUGGCUCCGUUGGAAGUUUCACAAGGUUCAUAAACCACAACUGCAACCCUUACCUCUUCGCCCAGUGUGUCCUAACCAAUUACCACGACGUCAAGCUAGAAAAGGUGAAGCUUUUUGCUGUUGACACUAUACUUCCACUUCAGGAGCUUUGCUAUGACUACGGUUAUGUCUUGAAAAACUUCGUUUCUGCGGAUGUUGAAAUCGUCAAGCUGCCAUGCUACUGUGGCGCCCCAGACUGCCAGAAGCGACUCUACUAG
rnacentral:rRNA from 1 species